rnacentral:rRNA from 1 species
GUCUUUUUGUUUUUUAUAUAAGGUCAGACCUGCCCAAUGAAUUUUAAAUGGCCGCAGUACUUUAACUGUGCAAAGGUAGCAUAAUAAUUUGUUUUUUAAUUGGAAACUAGUAUGAAUGGUCAUACGAGGGAUUGACUUUCUUUAUCUUACUUAAAUUAAUUUUAUUUUUCUGUGAAAAAGCAGAGAUUUCAUUAGUAGACGAUAAGACCCUUUAAAACUUUAUUCAUUAUAGAAGUAUAAUUUUGUUAGGUUUUAAUAGUGUACUUUUUUAAUGAGUUUUGUUGGGGCGACAGGUAAAUUUAUUUAACUUUAUUUUUGUUUUUCACUAAUUAGUGUUUAUUUGAUCCAGAUUUAGUUUUGAUUAUAAGUUUAAGUUACUUAA